rnacentral:rRNA from 1 species
GUCGAGGAUCUUCGGCAAUGGGCGCAAGCCUGACCGAGCGACGCCGCGUGCGCGAUGAAGGCCUUCGGGUUGUAAAGCGCUGUCGAGGGGGAGGAAAGCCGAAAGGUCUGACCUAUCCCUGGAGGAAGCACGGGCUAAGUUCGUGCCAGCAGCCGCGGUAAGACGAACCGUGCAAACGUUGUUCGGAAUCACUGGGCUUAAAGGGCGCGUAGGCGGCGAGUCCAGUCCGGGGUGAAAUUUUCCGGCUCAACCGGAACAGGGCCUUGGAUACUGACUCGCUCGAGGGAGACAGGGGCAGGUGGAACUUCCGGUGGAGCGGUGAAAUGCGUUGAUAUCGGAAGGAACGCCGGUGGCGAAAGCGACCUGCUGGAUCUCUGCUGACGCUGAGGCGCGAAAGCCAGGGGAGCAAACGGGAUUAGAAACCCGAGUAGUCC